GGCAGCCUCUGACAGGCGGUGGCUAGCGAUUACGUAUUACUCAGAAUUACAAGCCACUUGCAUUCAUAAUAAUUACAUUAGGAAAGCGGCCCAAAAACCCGCAACCACCAAAUAUUUACCCGCAAAUGUAUUCUUGCCUCUGACGUCAAACGCCCCUGGUUGUUUUCGGCCCAACAGCAAAAGAGCAAAUACCUUUUUUAGUGUAAUACAACAAUGUAACUUAUUUCGUUACAAGGACAUUUAUCCUUAAUCACUAUACACGUAGAAAGUACAUAUCCAGGUUUUCUUUCAAUAACCAGUUCAGUAUAAAGAGUCAGUCUCCAGCUUGGCGGACGUUGAGGCGGCGGCACCCCCCGAGGGAAUAGAAGUUCGUCUGCUGGUGUUGUGCGAGAAGAGAGCAGCGGGCUCGAUACUGCCCGGAACCUCGCACCAGAGCCACGGGCAGAUGAGCAGGAGACUCUGGGGAAAAGUACGGGCCCUCCGUACCAUCCAGGACACACCGGACCCGCACAGCGCGUCCUGAAGCCGCUCCUGCCUGCCCGCCAAAACCUUGGCAACCGAGUAGUUGUUCACCGGCCGUCAAAGACGAGAAGCCGCGGUCCGCACCGCUGCAGUUAAUAAUCUGUUUAAUAAUAAUCUGUUUUGUAUUUUCAAGAUAUUGAAUGCAUGUGAUUUCUUAAUAAUAAUUCAUAAACCCAUACUUAAAAAACAUUUGAAAACAUAUUUUAUUGAUGCGGACGUUUGCUGCAGCGUUAAGGGUGAACAUAUUGCUAUCAAUAUAAAAAAUACAUUAAAAGUGUAAUAGAACGUCGGUUGUAAUAACUGAUUUCUCAAAAAUAACUUAUUAAAAAACACUUUUGGAAAAACAUCUUUAAACGUAUUUAAUAUAAGAAGUGAACUUUUGCUGCAUAGGUAAGGGUGAAAUUCAAAGGUAUGAUAGCUGUCGCCCGGUUAAUUAUUAGCCAUUAUUAGCAAUAUCAGUCGAUAAGCCAUUAUGCCCUUAUUCAUUUUUCCACUAAGAUCCUAUAGAAUUUACCAAUAAUACAAAAAGAUUUUUAUUUUCCCUGUUGGGAUUCAGUGGCGCUCAAUAACAUAUCACGUGGUACUUUAGAAUUCUAAAAUUCAGAUAGGAUUUUCAUCAAGCGCAUUGUUUUUUAUCCGACCUCUUUAUUUCUGUAUUGGAUUCUUGAUUUAGGAUUAUGACCUAACCCCACUAAAAUAGUACAAUUCCUGCGGGUCUACUACUUUUAUGUAGCAUGACCCAAAGGCAGGUGUGCAGGUCACUGAGAAAAAAGAAAAUAAUUGGCUUUACUUGCCAUUGCCAUUCACUUAAUUCACAUCGGUUGCACAUUAAUGAAAUAUGUAAAGUAAACACAGCAUUUUUCAGUUUACGGAAUUCAAUAGGCAGAAACUGACCAGCUAAUCCAAUGAGCAGUCAGUGAUGUCAUCUGCCAUUCUGUUCCAUUUUGAUGUCAUACGGAACACUGUGUUCCAUUCUAUUGUGACAUCACAUGUCCAUUUCACACUCCAGUCUGAACGACAAUUUCAAAGGAGACACUGCUAAAAAUGAAGCUCAGCUUUUUCAAUUGCAUCAGCUCUGCAACAAUGGAGGAAGAGGCGAAAGACAAAAAAGGAAGAUUUAAAAGGAAUUUUGGCAAGCCUGGAAAAAAAAGAGCAAAAGCUCCUACAGAAGGCAUGGCUUCCAGCUGCAGAGAGGAGCCAGGACCCAAGGAAUCACUACAGAAGAAAGAUUCUCUUCUCAGUGUAUGCAAGAAGCUGGGCAAGAUCGGGCUCUCUCAAAUAUUUGGACAAAGACAAAAAAAUACAAUUAAGACGAAUAAUGCGAAUGGGGACAAAAAUGUACAGCAACUGAGAAACAGACUGGACAGAGGAAAAAGCAAGUCUGAGAGUGACUUGGGAAAAAUCCCAGAGAUACAGAAGCCGAGACCAAUGAGGCAACUGAAUAGAAGACCAGUUCCAAAAUGCACGAAGUCGGACAGUGAACUGGUGAGACCAAUGAGUGCCCCAUAUCAAUACAGGCCAUUUACAGAGGCCCCAGGGAAUGGCGGAGGUGGAAAGGGGCCACCAGGACACGAGCCACCUACCACCAAUCGGCGAUGUAGUUUUGGGAUUCUGCGCUUCAUAUGUCAUGCAGUUAAUGCUCUGAGGCGUAGAAUUUUAGGUUGCUUCUGGGGAUGCCUACAAGGUGUACUCAUUGUUGCACUAAUUUGCACUGUGACAUUUUUUAUCUUUUUGGUUUAACCUUCGUCCUGUGUUGCCUUUUCCUAUCUCUUAUGUUAGACAGGUCGGUGCCGACCCGUGUCAUAUAUGAUGUAUGGUGUAUUUUUCGGAAUAUUUUUCAGAUUUCCAACACCAAUAAAACUGUGUUUCUUGCAAA